CGCCCACGUGGCCGGCGGGAGCCUGUGGCCUGUGAUUGGUCAGGAAAGGGGGCGUAGUGUGAGGGGGAGGUCCCCGGCCUAGCCGAGGUACUCCAGUUCAACCUUCCGAGUCCGCUAACCUGGUGGCUGUCUCAGGGUGCAUCCCUCUGGGACCAGGUUGUGUGUAAGCAAUAUGGAGGCUGACCUGUCUGGCUUUAACAUUGAUGCGCCCCGCUGGGAUCAGAGCACGUUCCUGGGGCGUGUGAAGCACUUUUUUAACAUCACGGAUCCUCGCACUGUCUUUGCAUCAGAGCAGGAGCUGGACUGGGCCAAGGUGAUGGUGGAGAAGAGCAGGAUGGGCCUUGUGCCCCCUGGCACUCAGGUGGAGCAGCUGCUGUACGCUAAGAAGCUUUAUGACUCGGCUUUCCACCCUGACACUGGGGAGAAGAUGAACGUCAUUGGGCGGAUGUCCUUCCAGGUCCCUGGUGGCAUGAUCAUCACAGGCUUCAUGCUGCAGUUCUACAGGACAAUGCCUGCGGUAAUCUUCUGGCAGUGGGUGAACCAAUCCUUCAAUGCCUUAGUCAACUACACCAACAGGAACGCGGCUUCCCCCACAUCAGUCAGGCAGAUGGCCGUCUCCUACCUCACAGCUACUAGCACUGCGGUGGCCACGGCAGUGGGCAUGAAUAUGUGGACAAAGAGAGCUCCGCCCUUGGUGGCCCGAUGGGUGCCCUUUGCCGCCGUGGCUGCAGCUAACUGUGUCAAUAUCCCGAUGAUGCGACAGCAGGAACUCAUCCAGGGCAUCUGUGUGAAGGACAAGGACCAAAAUGAUCUUGGCUGUUCUCAGAGAGCUGCAGCUGUGGGCAUCACCCAAGUGGUUAUUUCUCGGAUCACUAUGGCAGCCCCUGGCAUGAUCAUAUUACCAGUCAUCAUGGAGCAGCUGGAGAGACUGCGUCUGAUGAAGAAAGUCAGAGUGCUGCAUGCCCCUCUGCAGGUCCUUCUGUGUGGCUGCUUCCUCCUCUUCAUGGUGCCAGUGGCAUGUGGGCUCUUCCCUCAGGAAUGCAAAUUACCAGUUUCCUAUUUAGAACCAGAGCUGCAGGACACCAUCAAGGCCAAAUAUGGAGAAGACGUCCUCUUUGCCUACUUUAAUAAGGGUCUCUAAGUGCUCCGUGCCUGCAAGGAUUGAUCCAUUCCCCGUAAAGACCAGUUUUUCGCUGGCAGUUAUGCAUACCUGUGUCCACAUUCCUCUUUGCAACAAGCAUCCACAGAGGACAGAAGAGAGUGUCAGAUCCUCUGGGACUUUCCGCUGUGAGCCAUCACGUGGGUGCUCUGAAAGAGCAGCGACUGCUCUUACCUGCUGAGCCAUCUCUACAGCUCCUAUUCAGGAACAGAAGAGGGAACAGUCAGUAUCCCCUUGGGGACAUGUCACCCUUCCUAUUGUGCCCUGACUGGGACAACUCCUUGUGAGUGCUGCUAGACAUGAGUGUUUCUGUCAAUGAGAGUUAUUUGUUCUAGAAAAAGGACAAGAAACUGGACAAAUAGUUCCUUUCCACAGCUCAGUAGGUCAAAUACCAGAGGCUGGCGUGUGCUCAUAGGAAAGGGACGCUGUACUUGGCCACCUAAGCACAAUUCAACAAGGACCACAUAGCCUUAAACGUGUCCAGACAAAUGCCAUUCCACCAAAGUUAUGUGGGUCAUCAAGUUCUAGCCCUUUGCCAAUGACUUUGUUCUGUCUUAAAAUACUGUCUAGAUCCAUUUCUGGGACUCUUUUUCUGAGAGGAGGGUCUACUCUUAUUGCCUUCCCUGUUUCACAAGUGACCUCACUGAGUGAAGGCACCUGCCACACAUUUUAAUAGGAAUGAUUUCCUGGUGGCCUCCCUUCCUGAGCCCAUUAGGUUAAAUACUAAAGAAAGACUGGUGAGCACUGAUAGGUCAGGGGAGCUGGGCUUGGACACCUGAGAAGACAGCAACGAGGACCAAAGAGCCUAAAGAGAAUGAGCAGCAAAGCGCCCUUUAGUUCCUGUCUUGUUCCUUGAGCCCCCCUGGGGACUGUAGCUUACCUGGGGUUAGUGUGCAUAUGAGUUUUUUGUGGUAAAGUUUGCUGACUCUGUUCAAACACUGUCAUUAUGAAUUGAAUAAACGAUUUGAAAGAACAUGAAA